UGGGGAAUUUUGGACAAUGGGCGAAAGCCUGAUCCAGCAAUGCCGCGUGUGUGAAGAAGGCCUUCGGGUUGUAAAGCACUUUUGUCCGGAAAGAAAUCCUUGGCUCUAAUACAGUCGGGGGAUGACGGUACCGGAAGAAUAAGCACCGGCUAACUACGUGCCAGCAGCCGCGGUAAUACGUAGGGUGCAAGCGUUAAUCGGAAGUUACUGGGCGUAAAGCGUGCGCAGGCGGUUUGCUAAGACCGAUGUGAAAUCCCCGGGCUCAACCUGGGAAACUGCAUUGGUGACUGGCAGGCUAGAGUAUGGCAGAGGGGGGUAGAAUUCCACGUGUAGCAGUGAAAUGCGUAGAGAUGUGGAGGAAUACCGAUGGCGAAGGCAGCCCCCUGGGCCAAUACUGACGCUCAUGCACGAAAGCGUGGGGAGCAAAACAGGAUUAGAUACCCUGGUA
rnacentral:rRNA from 1 species